rnacentral:piRNA from 1 species
UGUCUUGUGUUUUGAAUGGAACAUAUUGCA